GGUUCAGGCGAUUCUGCUGCCUCAGCCUCCUGAGUAGCUGGGACUACAGGCGCGUGCCACCACGCCUAACUAGUUUUUUAAUUUUUAUUAGAGACCGGAUUUCACCAUGUUGGCCAGGAUGAUCGCCAUCUCCUGACCUCGUGAUCCACCGGCCUCAGCCUCCCAAAGUGCUGGGAUUACAGGGGUGAGCCACCACACCUGGCCUCUUGGGGUUUCUAAUUUUACUCUUCUCUCUCUCAAACUGUCAUCUUUUUAGGAUCUUGACAACUCAGAGGCUUCAGUUACCCUCAAAGGAGGGGUGUGGUGCAAAUGGGGAACAGAAACACAAGUAUCGGUGAUGGGACUUCCUCCCUCCCAGGUAGUUAGCCUGCAGAGCCCAGGUACCACUCACGGAUUGCAUUGCCACCAGGAGCUCAUGUUUAUUUCAUCCUCAAGGCAGUCUAGUCCAGGAGAAACAAUCACAAAAAUGGAUUCAAUUUUGGGGGAGGCCUCUAAAGGCCUUCUCUCGGUCCGUCGUGUUUUUGGUCACUCCAGAGGGUGAAGAAGAUACCCGGCUAGCUCCUGUUAUUGGACCCUUCAGAUGCCAUUCAUGGUUGGGCCCAUCUUUGUACCAAGGAGCCUGGCUCUCUUUCUGAGAUCCAGCUGCUCAUGAAUUAGGCUGUCCUUUCUGUAAAACAUAAAUUCUGAGACCCUAGAGGCAGCACAUGGGAUCUGAGCAUGGGAUCUGAGACAAGCUGCCUGCAUCCCACGCCCAGUCCCAUUUACCCACUGUGUGGCCUUGGGUAAGUGAUGUACUUCUCUGAGUUUCAGUUUCCUCGAUUGUGAAAUAGAGAUACAGUCAUGCAUCACUUAAUGACAGGGAUGCGUUCUGAAAAAUGCAUCAUUGGGCAAUUUUGUCAUUGUACAAAGAUCACAGAGUGUACUUACACAAACCUAGGUGGGGAUAGCCUCCUGUACACCUAGGCUAUAUGGUCCAACCCAUAGCUCCUACACUACAAACCUAUGCAGCAUGUUGCCUUACUGGAUACUGUAGACAGUUGAACACAAU
rnacentral:lncRNA from 1 species